rnacentral:rRNA from 1 species
AGAGUUUGAUCCUGGCUCAGGAUGAACGCUAGCUACAGGCUUAACACAUGCAAGUCGAGGGGCAGCAUGGUCUUAGCUUGCUAAGACCGAUGGCGACCGGCGCACGGGUGAGUAACGCGUAUCCAACCUGCCUUACACUCUUGGACAGCCUUCUGAAAGGGAGAUUAAUACAAGAUGUUAUCAUGAGUAAGCAUUUUCACAUGAUUAAAGGUUUACCGGUGUAAGAUGGGGAUGCGUUCAUUAGAUAGUAGGCGGGGUAACGGCCACCUAGUCUUCGAUGGAUAGGGGUUCUGAGAGGAAGGUCCCCANAUUGGAACUGAGACACGGUCCAAACGUCCUAGGGGAGGCA